AAGACUAUACUUUCAGGGAUCAUUUCUAUAGUUUCUGACUUGAGAAAUGUGUUUCUAAAGUGUUUGGUCUCGCCAACCACGAUGAUGAGUCGUGAUAUUCUCUUCUGAGCGCGAAGCGGGCAGAGAAAAAUGAUUUAUUUCAUACGUUCUCUGUCAUUGAUGACCGUUCUUUGCUUUCUUGUGGAGCAUUGAGGAAGAGAAUAUGAUCAGAGUGGUU
ensembl:snoRNA small nucleolar RNA U3